rnacentral:lncRNA from 1 species
CUCCCGUACGAAAUUAUAAGGCGUAUUACGCCUGGAAAUAAGGCGUAAACCAGGCGUAAGUGGUAGUUACGUGUCUAGAUCCAAGCGUAAGGGAGCAGGAAACGUAAAUUUGUAGUCCUUACAGGCGUAGAAAAAAGCAGGAAACCUGGCGUAAAUUAAAAUAAGCAAGGCGUAAAUUGAAAUAAGCAAGGCGUAAAUUUUCUUACGGGCGUAAAACUGUUGGUAUGGCGUAAAUAGAAAUACCCAUAAUGCUUUGUUUAAAGGAUCAUGGGAUUUUUUUUCAAAAUUUGGCUCUUUGGUUUUAGUUUGCAAGAGUUGGACACAUGGCAGCUUCAUAUAUUCAGGGAUAAUUUGCUUGUUUUGUGCUUUUUGGAAGAAUCUGAAAUUGGAAAUACUGAAUCAUAUAAAUUAAUGAAAAUUGUGAAAUAAA